AUUGAACGCUGGCGGCAGGCCUAACACAUGCAAGUCGAGCGGUAGAGAGGUGCUGCAUCUCUUGAGAGCGGCGGACGGGUGAGUAAUGCCUAGGAAUCUGCCUAGUGGUGGGGGAUAACGUUCGGAAACGGACGCUAAUACCGCAUACGUCCUACGGGAGAAAGCGGGGGAUCUUCGGACCUCGCGCCAUUAGAUGAGCCUAGGUCGGAUUAGCUAGUUGGUGAGGUAAUGGCUCACCAAGGCGACGAUCCGUAACUGGUCUGAGAGGAUGAUCAGUCACACUGGAACUGAGACACGGUCCAGACUCCUACGGGAGGCAGCAGUGGGGAAUAUUGGACAAUGGGCGAAAGCCUGAUCCAGCCAUGCCGCGUGUGUGAAGAAGGUCUUCGGAUUGUAAAGCACUUUAAGUUGGGAGGAAGGGUAGUAACCUAAUACGUUGCUACUUUGACGUUACCGACAGAAUAAGCACCGGCUAACUUCGUG
rnacentral:rRNA from 1 species